UGAGUGCUACAAAGAGAAACCUUAUCUCAGAGAAACAAUAGAAGGAGGAGGAGGAGAAGACAAAGCUCAAGCAAACAAGUAAGGCAAUUCAAAAUGUUUUCUUGUCAAUUUCCAUGCACACCACCACCUCUGUGUGUGUGUGUGUGUGUGUGUGUGUGUGUGUGUGUGUACUGUAAGAUUACCAUGGAAUUGGGAAUUGGGCUGGGGAUGUAGGCAAGGAUAAGUGUCCUUGUCUACCAUGUAAAGGGCCCUAGGUUCAACCCCAGAAUAAAAAUAAAUUAAAGGGACCUGGCACUGACCCAGUUGAUACAGUGCUUGUGUAAGCAUAACAACCUGAUCACCGCAUCCCUGUUGAAGUAGGCUAUGGCAGCUGGUGCAGGCUGGAACGCCAGUGGUGGGGAAGUGAAGACAGCGGUGCCUGGACUCAGUAGCCAGCCAGUGUGGCCAAGUCAUUGAGCUCUAUGUUCAGUGAGAGACAGAGUGACGGAUGACGACACCUAACAAGGACCUCUGCUGCCACAUGUAUGGGUACAUGUGUACAUACUUGUAUACACACACACAUCCACACACAUGAACACACACACACAUGAACACACACAUAUACACUGGAAACUUCCUACAGACACCAUAGUUGUCAUACUGUAGACAACACACAGCUCAUGUACUUGUGACCUUGUAUAAACAAGAGCUGAGCUACCAGGCACACAGAAUUAUAAACAAUGCCUACAUUUCAUUGGCAGUAAUAUAUUUCAUUUUUUACAAUUAUUCAUUUGUGUGUAUUCAUAACGUGCUAUGGGGUGCAUGUGGAUGGAGAUCAGACGGUAACCUGUGGGAAUCAGUUCUCUCCUUGCACUGUGUGGGCCCCAGAGAUUGAAUGGAGGUCAUCGGGCUCAACAGCGAGCACCCUUACUGUGGGUAUAUUUUAGAAUAAACUUGAUUUAAUUAUUUUUAAAGUAUCGUCAAACAGUACACUAGUACAGUGUGGCGGCACCUAUCUGUAAACCCAGUGGCUAAGAUAGGAUAAUAGCAGGAAAUUUGAGGCCAGGCUGGGCUAUAUAGUGAGUACCAGGUCAGUUGGGGUUAUGUAGCAAGACCUUGUUUCAAAACCACGAGAGCAAAAUCAAAGCAAUCAGAAUGACGAACCACCACAGAGCACUGUGCUGCAGCCACCUCAUCUGUCUCAUGUUUAUUGAAUCUGUCAACUGUACCAAGAGGCCAUGUGGAGUGUUUGACCUAUACCAACCAGGUUUGUCUAAGUACCCUCUACAUAGCAUUUUCAGUCCUGAGAUCACCUAACAGCUCACCACUCAGUAUGGAUCCCUAUUGUUGAUAACUAUUCCUCCUCUGCUGCAAAACACCCUGGCUUCUGGUACAGUUGGAGCCAGACUGCUACUCAUUCCUCCAUCCCAUGUGGCCUGCACUUGUUGAGGCUCCCUCCUGUCUCCUUGGGUUCAUCCCACAUAUCAUCCUUGCUCCGUGAUACACACAUGCUCACAGGCAUCCAUCCCUGUGCUGGAGCGUACCCAGCUCUUUUCACACACUGUUCCCUCUCACUGGAAUUUAGCUCUUUGUUAGGGCUCUUCACAUCUUUUGUACUUCAGGCCUCUCCUUGACUUCCCCACAGAGAUUUUUAAUUUCUGUAUCAUUGUUUAUUUCCUUCUUAGCACUUAUUGUAGUGUGUAACUAUUUUAUUGUGUUUACUGUAAAAUUUCUACUAGAUUUAUGCGCUCCUUUCUUGUUUUAGACAGGAUCUUAUAGAGUGCAUGUUGACCUACAAAGUCCCUUUGUAGCUGAAGGUGACCUUGAACUUCUGAUCUUCCCAAAUACUGGGGUAUGGGUACGUGUGCCACACUGGUUUUAAUGUUCUGUUGGGGAUCAUUCGUAGCCAUGGAUUGACAAAUUCUGUAAGCUAGUGGCAAUAUGUUGGCUGUGGCAUUUUUAGUAUCAUGGUGUAAGAAAGGUGUGGGAUUGCAGACAGUAGUCAGAGGACACAGAGACAUCGCAGAGGUUAGGGCCAGUGGGAUUCAGCUCAGGUCCUCAGAGAUCUGUUUAGCGUUACUGUGUGCUCGGCUCUACGCUGGCACUGAUUGUGGACAACAGAAAGACGAACAAGUUUACACUUCAACAGUUUGCAUUCAAGAAGCCAGAAAGAGGAGAUAAGGAUGUACAGAUGAUAAUAAAAGGCAGAAUUUAAUCAAACAAAGGCCUCUGAGGCAGGGGUUUAGGAAAAGCUUCAAGGAAAUUUACUCUGACCUUGAAGUCAACAAGUCUCAGUCCACAAUGAAGGAAGAGCACAGCCAGUCCCUGCUGUUCUUCCUCACAAAGUACUUCAUAAAGCGAAGGACGAAAGCAAAACAUUUGAGAUGACCUUAGAGGUACCGUGGUUAAGGGGAAACGAUGGGGCUUGGGAGGCUUGGCUUUGCCGUGUCCUAUUUGGGAAACCUUGAACAUUUUGUUCUCUUUUACAAAUGGAUGUUGAAGGCCUACUAUGUGCCAAGUAUUUUAUAUAUGUGAUUCUACUGAAUCAUUUCUCUUCCUAGGCUUUAGUGGUUUGUCUCUGAAAAUUAGUUGCUUAGAUUUCUGGUUCAGACUCACAGCUAUUUCUUUCUGUCCCUGAGCAGCACGCAUGAGCACAACAGACUGGCUUUUGAUUGCAAAAAGACACAUGAAGAUAUUUUGACUACUCGUGAGAUGGGGAAGGAUUUUUGAGAGGCUGGACUAAAGAAUGCUUUGAGAACUGAAAAUUGAUGCACACUGUCGGACCCCUAGUACAUGCUCUGCAGAGGCUCACUUUUCUGCCAUGUAUUCUUGACACCAAAAUCCUGAGUCCUGUCACUGAAAGAAGAGACCAGCUAACGUUCAGCGUCAUUUUCAUACCUGUGAACCUCUGCUUUUGUCAUAGACUUGAACUAAAACCACAUCAACAUAUUUUGAAUGAAGAAGCAGGAUUGGACAGGCCACUUGGUGAAGUCUGAGGAGAGGAGACAGAGAUGAAAACAGCAUGGCGCUCUAACCACACUGUGCAUUUCAGGCCCUAAGGACUAGGUGAGGGAAAUUACCAGCUCUCAUUACAGCCUCACACGAGUCCUCCAGACAUUCAUGGUUAGCUCAUUGGCUUAGGACAACUCAGAUAAUGAGCACAGGAUCCCUCCCUUCAAAUUAUCCUACAUUGUGAAGCUCUUAACGCCUUUUGAAUGUAAUAUUUUAAAGGACACAUCAAACCAGGAAGAAUAAAUGAACAGCCCACUUUGGCCUCACUUCCACCUGUGGCUAACAUUAUCAGUGAAUCUAAUUAGUGUCUGACUCAUCUAUUUUCCAGAAACAAUAGGCAAUUUUACAUCUGCUGUACUACAGAGAGGCAGGAUAGAAGUUUAUCAAAUCGAACAAAAGCAUGUAAUAAAAAUACCUUAGUUACAGAGGGCCAAGUUCCAGAUGCAAGGCUUACAGAAUGAAUUGGCAGCUUUUGUUACCUUUAUUACUGGACCAAAGUGACUAGUGAUUAUCCAGGCAGUGGAGCUGUGACCCAAAUGAAAAGAGAGGUAGGAUAAUUGUGUGAUGAGUUUCUGCCAGUUUUCCGAUUGUAAUGAAAAUGGAGAUGGGGAUGGAAGUAAGUCUAUGUAAUUAUUUGUACUCAAAUACAAAUUCUCGAAGAGUCCAUCCCUUUUCAUCAAACUGAAGGGGAUUUGAAAAAUCCAUCCUGCUUAAAAUAUUUAUGUCUGAAUAUCUGUGUGAUGUACUGCUGUUGCCACAUCAUGAAACCCAAAGGAGUAAAUUAUAAUUGCUGGGUUCUCUUUCACGGACGCUCUACCUGUUUCUAAAUUUCUAUGAGACGGAGGGCCAAGUGCCAGAUGCAAGUCCAAGUGGAAGGUAAUUUCUAGUUGACCUGUCAUUCUAAUGAAAGAAAAACCUAUCAUCAUAAAAAUAUCUCUCCUUUAAAUAUUAACAUUAAAAGUCAGCACUGAAAGAAAACACUUCCAUUAAAUCUUCCUUAGAGAUAUCUCUUGCUUUUCACUUUAUUCAGUGGGUUACUGAUUGACAAGUUUGGAGUGUGGAUGGAGCAUCUCUACCCUGUACGGACAUAUGGCCUCCUGCCAGGACCAAGAGGUACCAGAAGUUUUGUCAUACAAAAUGCAUAGAAGUAAACAACUUUUUAUAAAACUAGUCUAAAAAAUGGCACAUGGAAAGGAUGGACUUCCCUAGGAAGAACUCUAUAAAUGACAGGUGACCUCAUUCACCUUCUACAGCAGGAAGGGAAAGGAGAACUCAGUUUCCAUGCUGAAACCUUAAUCAAGAACUUCAUAUCUAGGAAGUAAAUUCUGGGAACAUUUAUUCUUGUUUUCUGUCUAUAAAAUUACAAAUUAAAUCUCAAAGAUUAGGAGAUUAUUUUCUGCCCAAAUCUCAGCUGCACAUUCAUACCCACGAUAGCCUGUUUAUUGGAGAGGUCAUGUGAUUGAGUUGGAUAAAGCUAAAGGGUUUACUUUUUAGAUGAUUCCUGUAAUAUCCUACAAUCAAGUUUUCCAAGAACUCUCCGGGAUGUUACUUUUUCAUUGUUCUGUAACAGUUAAAUUUCACACUUCUACGAGAUGCUUUAGAGGAAACACAGGGAAAGACACAGAUUCAAAGUCUGGCGUCCGUGUUUUGUUGAUGUCCCUUGGAGGCCUGAUCUUUUCUGAAGUGAAGCAGAGGGAGGCGUGGAUCUAGGGGAGAGAGGAAGUAGGGAGGAGACUGGGGGAAGGGGAGGGAGGGGAUACUACAGUUGGGAUGUAAUAUAUGAGAAUUUAAAAAAUGAAAAGCGAAGUCUGGCCCCAUUCCUUUCUGGAUGUCUGAGCACUUUUAUGGCAUGUAGGCUGUGACAAGGAUGAAAUGAUGUGACACACACCUUUAGGAGAUGCACUGCUACUCCUGUCCCAGAAGUACACUCCAGAAACCAAGCUGCAGCUUGCAGGGUUCUGCUGUUUCCUGUCCCAGUGCCUAGUGCAGUGUCUGCUAUGUGAUACAUUUUUGUAGAAUAAAUGAACACAAUAGUUUUUUUCGUAUUUAAACACGCGCACAUACCCAGAAUAGCAAUCUAGGUCAGAUGUGCAGCACAGCACCUGGGCACACAGGAAGCUUCUCCCCUCAACCUCCUCCUCGUUGCUCACUAAUGUUUCAUAAACUCUAUAAAGUGAGGAGCCACUCAGUUCUUUUGCAGGAAGGUCAGAGUGUCUUUGGAGAGGUAAAUUUCGGUCUUACACUCACAGGAACUAAUGGUGCGUUUAAAAUACCAAGGACUUCUAGUUCCAAGUCAAGUCAGACAAUAGUUCUUGGGCUAUAAACACGCACUUGAAAGACACUAUAUUAAGAAUCAGUGGUGUGAUUUUUUUCCUGUUCUUUGUUAGAUGGGAGUGACAUUGAGUACAGAUGCACAACACAUUCCACCGAAGAAUAAAGGUUUAGGGUUACACACAGCAUUCGUUUAAGUGCCCUGCUGCUACAUGUUACAUGUUUGCAUGAAGGAGAAGUGUGAGGGGGAGAAGCUACGUGUAUAUCCAGGUGCUGUGCUAAAGAACAAGUACUCUCUAGGUUGGCUACCUGGUCUAGCCCAGUAACAAACCCCCAAAUGUUCUCUAAAAGCAGGUGAUAAACUCUAAAAACUUAAAUGCUGGGUACCUUUAAUCCCAGCACUGGGAGGCAGAGGGAGAUAGAUCUCUGUGAGU
rnacentral:sRNA from 1 species